ensembl:snoRNA
AAUCACUGUCGCCUGAGCCAUUGGUGCUCCUGGCCCUGGCUGGGUUUUAAUGCAGUGCAAUAGGAACCCCCUGCUUCCACAAGGACUUGGCCUGCUGUAGCCUCCUCCUCCCCACGGUUGGGCCUUU